GAAUAUUUGGUGUGUUUUGUUUUGAUGAACGACUAUGUAGGUCGGCGUUCUAACGGCUAAAUGCUGGCUUGUCUACUCUCGGUGGAGGCUCUAGCACUGGUUUGUUGUGCGCAUUAGAAGGGAUUAACAAUGUUCUUUUUUGAAAGGAGUUUUGGUCACGCGGGGGUGACAAGUUGAAUUGAUGUGUUUGGGUGUUUUG
rnacentral:lncRNA from 1 species